rnacentral:rRNA from 1 species
AUUGAACGCUGGCGGCAGGCCUAACACAUGCAAGUCGAGCGGCAGCGGGAAAGUAGCUUGCUACUUUUGCCGGCGAGCGGCGGACGGGUGAGUAAUGCCUGGGAAAUUGCCCAGUCGAGGGGGAUAACAGUUGGAAACGACUGCUAAUACCGCAUACGCCCUACGGGGAAAGCAGGGGACCUUCGGGCCUUGCGCGAUUGGAUAUGCCCAGGUGGGAUUAGCUAGUUGGUGAGGUAAUGGCUCACCAAGGCGACGAUCCCUAGCUGGUCUGAGAGGAUGAUCAGCCACACUGGAACUGAGACACGGUCCAGACUCCUACGGGAGGCAGCAGUGGGGAAUAUUGCGCAAUGGGGGAAACCCUGAUGCAGCCAUGCCGCGUGUGUGAAGAAGGCCUUCGGGUUGUAAAGCACUUUCAGCGAGGAGGAAAGGUUGAUGCCUAAUACGUAUCAACUGUGACGUUACUCGCAGAAGAAGCACCGGCUAACUCCGUGCCAGCCGCCGCAGUAAUAC